ACAGGCUCCCCGACACCACGCAGACAGCUAGCAAAAGUUUAAAGGAAACAGACAGGGCCUCAAAGCAUUCCCAGCAGAAGCUGCCUGAGAGCCCGGGAGGCGCAUGUUACCCAGUCCUCCGAGGCCGGCUGGUCCGAUGAGCUGCAUGAGCUGACUGUGGCUCAUGUUCCCCAGCAGGCUCUGCAGGCCGCCCUCACCUGGAAAACACUGCAGCUCAGGGGGGCCUGCCCUAGCCAGAUCCACGCCAGCCCCACAGCACCGCCCCGGCCAGCCCCACUCCGGCCCCACAGUGCUGCCUGGGCCUCUGCUGAGCACCCCACUCGGCUGCCUCUGAACUCUACAGGCGGCACCACUUGAAGUGAGGCAACGAGAAAGGACACGUAAGAGCAGGAGCCGGUGCCAGCUCACUCUGAGGGCCACCACAGCCAUCCUGAGCUGGCUUACAGGUGAGGGACCUGAGAGGCACAGGCGCGUGUACCUGGCUACACAGUGCUGAGGAGACAGGACUCAGCUCAGCAGGUGAGGGGAUGGCAGUGGUGCCUGCUGAGCACAAUGCUCCGCGCCCUGCCCCAGUCUGCCGCAAUGCUGGCUGUGCCCUGUCCCCCUCCACCCAUUUCACAGAUGGGGAGCCUAGGGCUCCGAAGGCACUUGGCUGCUGCCAAGCCAAGUCCUCUCACCCUCUUGCUCUCUGGGGUGUGGUUCUUUAUACACCUGUCUCCUUCCUUCAACCAGUGGAAGGCAGCGAACUGGCCCGCUCAGCACACCACAGCCCAGAGCCACGGCAGGCCCUCACAAUCGAGCACACGUGUGUGUCCCCACACGUGCACAGACCAGGGUCAGAAGCAUCAACCUGCGAGCACACAGAGCUGGGAACAGAGCACCCACGCACACCUCCAACAGCUAUGGAGGCUGCAGGGCGCCAGGGACACUGGGAGUCCCUGCCCUCAUGGGCACACCCCGAACGGCAGGGCGCCAGGGACACUGGGAGUCCCUGCCCUCAUGGCAAAGCGGGGACAGGGACUUAAAAGUCAUCAACAGGAAAAUCGGGAAAAAAAGGGGAGAGGGUGGUAACAGUUGGACACUACUUCUUGGCAAAACCGUGGAAAAACACGUUCUACACCAGCAGGUGGCAAACUGUGCUCCCCAUCUGUGUUUGCAAAUAAAGUUUAAUUGGAACUCG